CCUACGGGUGGCAGCAGUGAGGAAUAUUGGUCAAUGGGCGCUAGCCUGAACCAGCCAAGUAGCGUGAAGGAUGACUGCCCUAUGGGUUGUAAACUUCUUUUAUAUGGGACUAAAGUGCAGUAUGUAUACUGCUUUGCAUGUACCUUAUGAUUAAGGAUCGGCUAACUCCGUGCCGGCAGCCGCGGUAAUACGGAGGGUCCGAGCGUUAUCAGGAUUUAUUGGUGUUAAAGGGAGCGAAGGCGGGUUGUUAAGUCAGUUGUGAAAGUGUGCGGUCAAACCGUGAAAUUGCCGUUGAUACUGGCAUCCUUGAGUGCAGUAGAGGUAGGAGGAAUUCGUGGUGUAGCGGUGAAAUGCUUAGAUAUCACGAAGAACACCGAUUGCGAAGGCAGCCUGCUGGACUGUAACUGACGCUGAUGCUCGAAAGUGUGGGUAUCAAACAGGAUUAGAUACCCCUGUAGUC
rnacentral:rRNA from 1 species